AUGGAAGAUGAAGUAGACAGUGCUAAUGACAUGGUAGAACAAGAGGAAAGCACCGGCAGCGCCCCUAGCCCAUCGUUUUCAGGCAGAAACACGAAAAGGCUCCGGUCGAAAGUGUGGGACGAUUUCACACCCAUUUUCGUCGGAACUAAGCUUGCGAAGACUGAAUGCAUGCAUUGCCAGAAGGUUUACAACGUCGGCUCAAGUGGCACUAGCGGCCUGCUAAAGCACCAGGCCAAGUGCAGCGCUAGGGCCCAUAAAAGGCCAAUGCAAAACAAGUUUCAAGUGUUGCCGUCUACCCAGAAGAGCACCGUUGCAGCUGGCCCUGGUUUGACACAGAAGAAGCUCCCAUUCUCCCUCGCUAACCAGAAGAAAUGCUUGAGCACAGCCGAUGCAAUGCUUGAGAAGAAGGGUCUUGCUUUUCUUGACAUUCCCAGUGACAUGAAUCAGGAGGUUGGUCAGAAUUCAUCUCAUGAGGAACUCGCAGGACACGAGCAGAAGAAUCAGUUGGGUGCGAAACUUGCAGUGCCUGAGCAGGACAUUCUCACUAACAUGAAUCGGAAGAAUCCAGAGGUUGAUCAGGGUGAGCCACACAAAGAACUUGUCAGGAUAUUUGCUGCGCACGGGCACUCACCAUCGAUAAGAGCCCAUGAUAGGUUUAGGCCUAAGUUUGUUGCUUGCUUGAAUCCUAUGAUCAAGAUGCCAGAUGAAUAUGUCAUGUGCAGGUACUUUAAGGAACUGUUUGACAAAGAAAAGACCAAACUGAAGGAGAAGCUUGCCACUUUGCACAGUCGGGUUUGCUUGAGUGCUUAUGUGUGGCACUACGAUUUGCUCUCAGCGUUCUUAUGCCUGAGCGUUCAUUACAUUGAGGAUGAAUGGGAGAAGCAGAAAAAUAUCAUCAAAUUUCGUGCCGUCGAUCCUUCCUGCAGUGGAGAGGAAUUGAGCCAGUCUAUACUGUAUGCUAUUCACGAUUGGGGUCUUCGUGACAAGGUUUUCAGCAUUAUACUGGACGAUGCAUUUCUGGAUGAUUCAGUUACUUCGGAUGUCAAAGCUCGUCUCCAAAAAUGGAACCUUCGCUCGGCUAAUCGGAGCGUGUCUACAUCUGUAAAUCAGAGCUUGUUUGUGAUAAAGUAUGCAACUCAUCUAGUUAACCAUGUCAUACAGGUUGGCAAGGAUGAACUUGAGAAAGUCACGCAGAAGUCAACAAAGUGUUCUCAGCAUGCAAAGGGACACAUUCCUUCAGUAGUACAUUAUCCGAACCACAGAUAUGCACCGUCACCAGGAGGCUGGAAAAAUGCAAAGAAGAUUUGUAAGGUCAUGGAAGAUCUGCAACGACACAUGGAUGAAAUACACAAUUGUUGCAAUCCAGCUGACCUGUUUGACAAGGUGUGGGAUGUUAAGGAACUUUUGCAUCGUGAUGCUGAAUCCUAUAUCUGGGGAGAUAGUAAAAUUUCCAAAGAGCUGGAGAAGAUGCAAGAAAAGUUUAAGGAGCAGUGGAAACUCUGUUGCUUAAAUAUCUGCAUGCCUAUGAUCAUGGAUCCUUCAUACCGUUUGGAACGCAUCAAGUCCCGUCUCCGGUCUGAUGCAGGCAAUUAUCAUCUGGAGAAGCGGAGUUUUGAAGAUGAUAUGGAAGAUUAUAUUGAAGAAGUGCGUGCCAUAUUGCUCAACCUCUAUUGUGAAUAUUCUGAUCCGGUGGAAGACACUAGCUGCACUUCUGGAUCUAAAGCUAGAAAAAGAACUCUUGGGGAGGGACGUGAUACACUGAUGGACUAUUACCAAGCCGCCAAAUGUCCGUACAGUGAGCGACCGAUGACAGAACUUGAUCAGUACAUGCAGGAGCCAGGUCUCUCUGCAGAUGAGUCCAGUGUUCUCCAAUGGUGGAAGGAACAUAACCUGACUUAUCCUACAAUUGCUCGGAUGGCACGUGAUAUAUUGGCCGUGCCACUCAGUGUAGACUGCAGCGUAGCAAUAAAGACUGCGAGGCGCACAAUUUGCGAGUCUAGUAGCCUGUGGCGUGAAGAAGUUGUGUGUGUUCAGGACUGGCUCGGAUCAGAUGGUUCCUCGAGCGAGUGA
rnacentral:rRNA from 1 species